rnacentral:rRNA from 1 species
ACGAAAAAUAACGAUACGGGACUCAUCCGAGGCCCCGUAAUCGGAAUGAGUACACUCUAAACCCUUUAACGAGGAUCAAUUGGAGGGCAAGUCUGGUGCCAGCCGCCGCGGUAAUUCCAGCUCCAAUAGCGUAUAUUAAAGUUGUUGCGGUUAAAAAGCUCGUAGUCGAAUUUGUGUCCCGCGCCGCCGGUUCAUCGCUCGCGGUGUCAACUGGCGUGUCCGCGGGACGUCCUGCCGGUGGGCUUAGCCCCCCGUGGGCGGCCCAAUCUCAAUCCCACCGCGGUGCUCUUCACUGAGUGUCGAGGUGGGCCGGCACGUUUACUUUGAACAAAUUAGAGUGCUUAAAGCAGGCUAAAACAUCGCCUGAAUACUGUGUGCAUGGAAUAAUGGAAUAGGACCUCGGUUCUAUUUUGUUGGUUUUCGGAACCCCGAGGUAAUGAUUAAUAGGAACGGAUGGGGGCAUUCGUAUUGCGACGUUAGAGGUGAAAUUCUUGGAUCGUCGCAAGACGGACAGAAGCGAAAGCAUUUGCCAAAAACGCUUUCAUUGAUCAAGAACGAAAGUUAGAGGUUCGAAGGCGAUCAGAUACCGCCCUAGUUCUAACCAUAAACGAUGCCAGCUAGCGAUCCGCCGACGUUCCUCCGAUGACUCGGCGGGCAGCUUCCGGGAAACCAAAGCCUUUGGGUUCCGGGGGAAGUAUGGUUGCAAAGCUGAAACUUAAAGGAAUUGACGGAAGGGCACCACCAGGAGUGGAGCCUGCGGCUUAAUUUGACUCAACACGGGAAACCUCACCAGGCCCGGACACCGGAAGGAUUGACAGAUUGAGAGC